UGGGGAAUAUUGCACAAUGGGCGAAAGCCUGAUGCAGCAACGCCGCGUGAGUGAUGAAGGCCUUCGGGUUGUAAAGCUCUGUCUUCUGGGACGAUAAUGACGGUACCAGAGGAGGAAGCCACGGCUAACUACGUGCCAGCAGCCGCGGUAAUACGUAGGUGGCAAGCGUUGUCCGGAUUUACUGGGCGUAAAGGAUGCGUAGGCGGAUACUUAAGUCAGAUGUGAAAAUCCCGGGCUUAACUUGGGAACUGCAUUUGAAACUGGGUGUCUAGGGUGCGGGAGAGGAAAGUGGAAUUCCUAGUGUAGCGGUGAAAUGCGUAGAGAUUAGGAAGAACACCAGUGGCGAAGGCGACUUUCUGGACCGUAACUGACGCUGAGGCAUGAAAGCGUGGGGAGCAAACA
rnacentral:rRNA from 1 species